ACUAAGCGUACACGGUGGAUGCCCUGGCAGUCAGAGGCGAUGAAGGGCGUGCUAAUCUGCGAUAAGCGCCGGUAAGGUGAUAUGAACCGUUAUAACCGGCGAUACCCGAAUGGGGAAACCCAGUGUGAUUCGUCACACUAUCAUUAACUGAAUCCAUAGGUUAAUGAGGCGAACCGGGGGAACUGAAACAUCUAAGUACCCCGAGGAAAAGAAAUCAACCGAGAUUCCCCCAGUAGCGGCGAGCGAACGGGGAGGAGCCCAGAGCCUGAAUCAGCAUGUGUGUUAGUGGAAGCGUCUGGAAAGGCGCGCGAUACAGGGUGACAGCCCCGUACACAAAAGCGCAUGUGCUGUGAGCUCGAUGAGUAGGGCGGGACACGUGGUAUCCUGUCUGAAUAUGGGGGGACCAUCCUCCAAGGCUAAAUACUCCUGACUGACCGAUAGUGAACCAGUACCGUGAGGGAAAGGCGAAAAGAACCCCGGCGAGGGGAGUGAAAAAGAACCUGAAACCGUGUACGUACAAGCAGUGGGAGCCCGUGACUGCGUACCUUUUGUAUAAUGGGUCAGCGACUUAUAUUCUGUAGCAAGGUUAACCGAAUAGGGGAGCCGGAGGGAAACCGAGUCUUAAUUGGGCGUUAAGUUGCAGGGUAUAGACCCGAAACCCGGUGAUCUAGCCAUGGGCAGGUUGAAGGUUGGGUAACACUAACUGGAGGACCGAACCGACUAAUGUUGAAAAAUUAGCGGAUGACCUGUGGCUGGGGGUGAAAGGCCAAUCAAACCGGGAGAUAGCUGGUUCUCCCCGAAAGCUAUUUAGGUAGCGCCUCGUGAAUUCAUCUCCGGGGGUAGAGCACUGUUUCGGCUAGGGGGCCAUCCCGGCUUACCAACCCGAUGCAAACUGCGAAUACCGGAGAAUGUUAUCACGGGAGACACACGGCGGGUGCUAACGUCCGUCGUGAAGAGGGAAACAACCCAGACCGCCAGCUAAGGUCCCAAAGUCAUGGUUAAGUGGGAAACGAUGUGGGAAGGCCCAGACAGCCAGGAUGUUGGCUUAGAAGCAGCCAUCAUUUAAAGAAAGCGUAAUAGCUCACUGGUCGAGUCGGCCUGCGCGGAAGAUGUAACGGGGCUAAACCAUGCACCGAAGCUGCGGCAGCGAACGUUGGGUAGGGGAGCGUUCUGUAAGCCUGUGAAGGUGGCCUGUGAGGGUUGCUGGAGGUAUCAGAAGUGCGAAUGCUGACAUAAGUAACGAUAAAGCGGGUGAAAAGCCCGCUCGCCGGAAGACCAAGGGUUCCUGUCCAACGUUAAUCGGGGCAGGGUGAGUCGACCCCUAAGGCGAGGCCGAAAGGCGUAGUCGAUGGGAAACGGGUUAAUAUUCCCGUACUUGGUGUUACUGCGAAGGGGGGACGGAGAAGGCUAUGUUGGCCGGGCGACGGUUGUCCCGGUUUAAGCGUGUAGGCUGGUUUUCCAGGCAAAUCCGGAAAAUCAAGGCUGAGGCGUGACGACGAGGCACUACGGUGCUGAAGCAACAAAUGCCCUGCUUCCAGGAAAAGCCUCUAAGCAUCAGGUAACAUCAAAUCGUACCCCAAACCGACACAGGUGGUCAGGUAGAGAAUACCAAGGCGCUUGAGAGAACUCGGGUGAAGGAACUAGGCAAAAUGGUGCCGUAACUUCGGGAGAAGGCACGCUGACACGUAGGUGAAGUGAUUUACUCAUGGAGCUGAAGUCAGUCGAAGAUACCAGCUGGCUGCAACUGUUUAUUAAAAACACAGCACUGUGCAAACACGAAAGUGGACGUAUACGGUGUGACGCCUGCCCGGUGCCGGAAGGUUAAUUGAUGGGGUCAGCGCAAGCGAAGCUCCUGAUCGAAGCCCCGGUAAACGGCGGCCGUAACUAUAACGGUCCUAAGGUAGCGAAAUUCCUUGUCGGGUAAGUUCCGACCUGCACGAAUGGCGUAAUGAUGGCCAGGCUGUCUCCACCCGAGACUCAGUGAAAUUGAACUCGCUGUGAAGAUGCAGUGUACCCGCGGCAAGACGGAAAGACCCCGUGAACCUUUACUAUAGCUUGACACUGAACAUUGAGCCUUGAUGUGUAGGAUAGGUGGGAGGCUUUGAAGUGACUCCCUAUAAUGCGCCUCCAUCGACACGGCGGAUGUGAAUCACUUCACACAAACAGCCGGUCGGUUGAAGAGAAAAAUCCUGAAAUUCAGGGUUGACUCUGAAAGAGGAAAGCGUAAUAUACGCCACCUCGCAACGGUGAGCGAAAGCCGCGUUGCACUGCUCUUUAACAAUUUAUCAGACAAUCUGUGUGGGCACUCGAAGAUACGGAUUCUUAACGUCCUCGGACGAAAAAUGAAUACCAAGUCUCAAGAGUGAACACGUAAUUCAUUACGAAGUUUAAUUCUUUGAGCAUCAAACUUUUAAAUUGAAGAGUUUGAUCAUGGCUCAGAUUGAACGCUGGCGGCAGGCCUAACACAUGCAAGUCGAACGGUAACAGGAAGCAGCUUGCUGCUUCGCUGACGAGUGGCGGACGGGUGAGUAAUGUCUGGGAAACUGCCUGAUGGAGGGGGAUAACUACUGGAAACGGUGGCUAAUACCGCAUAACGUCGCAAGACCAAAGAGGGGGACCUUCGGGCCUCUUGCCAUCAGAUGUGCCCAGAUGGGAUUAGCUAG
rnacentral:rRNA from 1 species